AAAUUAUUCCGUCUCUAUUCUACGACGGAAUUACCGACGGAAUACCGACAGAAAUGAGUUCUUUGAUAUACCAUCGGAAUUACCGACGGAAUUACGACGGAAAAUAGCGCGUUAAUUUUGCGGUCAAUCAACGACGGAAACAACGACGGAUUAACGACGGCACAUAUUAACGACGGAAAUCAUUACGUCGUUGUUUCAAUUUUUAAAUUUUAUUUUCUGAAUUUUAAAGGAAAUAACGACGGAAUAGUGUCCGUCGUUGAUUUAACGACGGCGGUAACGACGGACAGACGUUAUACACUAAAAAUAACGACGGAAUGGUGUUUCCGUCGGUGGGCCCUAAUAAAACUAGGCCACGGGUUUCCCCCUUCUUCAAAAUUCAUUCAUAUUUGUAAAAGAGCUCGCCGCCCCUUCAUUCUCCAAAAUCGACGCCUCUUCCUCAAAUCGGACAAACGCCGCCGUUGGAGCUCGCCGAACCUGCGCGCCGCUGGAGAACGCCGUCGAUCUGGCCGAUUUCCCGCUGAGUUGUUCCCGGUGAAGGUUCGCAGCCGCCGUCCUCUGUUUCGUCUGUAGCGCUCCUCUGCCGGCAGGCUCUCUUCUCCGCCACGACGCCGACUCCGCCACCACACCGUCGACAUCGUCCAUCAAUGGGAAUUCGGUUGAAGAAUCGAUUUGUAAACUUUUUAAAUCCCAAGUUGCUGAUUGUUGCUGUCGGAGAGUGUCGUGCGCCGGAGACUGCCGCCGGAGGCCGUCCUCCUCUGUUCUCGUCUGAAGAGCUCCGCCGCUGCUGCCGAAUACUCAUCUCCAGUAUACCACUCCAUCCUUGAUUCUUGAGGAAUAAAGAAACUAGUCGAGGACAACAAGAGAAAAGAACGAGUAAAAAACAAGAUGUCUUUGUUGGUAUGAAGCUCAUGCAGAUUGGAGGAUUGACCUUGGCUAGAGCAAGAAUGGAGCAAGAUUGCAGAAAGAAUGGAUGAAUUAGUUGCUUCUCAGAGUCAGCAUGUGGAUGAUGAUUCUGAUCCGCCAGAGAUCGAUAUGAACAAGGUGUACGUGGAGGCUGUUAGUGGACUCGACAAAAAGAAGAGAAUGUUUGGAUUUGGUGGACUUGCAGCCAGCUAUAGGAGUAGUGAGCAGUCGAGUGGUACAUCUCAGUUUCAGGGCCCUACUGUCAAUCCACAACGACUUGUGGAUGUGGAGUUGCAGUUGCAGGAUGCCUUAGCGGCGAUAGAACGUCAGAAAGAGGAGAUGAGGCAGAAAGAUGAGCAGACCGAGGCUCGAUUUGAGGCUCAACAGCGUAUGUUCGAGCAGAUAUUGGCUAGGCUUCCACCUGGACCGACUCCACCCUCUGGACCAUCAUUUUCACUAUUAUGUUUGUGUUUUUGUAUUUGAAUACUUGAAUGUUUCUAUUAUGUUUUUGAACAGUUGGAUAUUUUAUGUUAUGUUAUGAAGAUUUGAAUGUCAGUUUAAAUUUUAAUAUUUUACA